rnacentral:rRNA from 1 species
CAAGUUCGAAGCGCGGGAAGCAAGCAGAACNNNNUCGGGGGUGACGCAUGUGGANNNNNCGGCGGACGGGUGAGUAACACGUGGGCAACCUGCCUGUAAGACUGGGAUAACUCCGGGAAACCGGGGCUAAUACCGGAUAAUACGUUUUCUUGCAUAAGGAGACGUUAAAAGGCGGCGCAAGCUGUCACUUACAGAUGGGCCCGCGGCGCAUUAGCUAGUUGGUGGGGUAAAAGCCUACCAAGGCGACGAUGCGUAGCCGACCUGAGAGGGUGAUCGGCCACACUGGGACUGAGACACGGCCCAGACUCCUACGGGAGGCAGCAGUAGGGAAUCUUCCGCAAUGGACGAAAGUCUGACGGAGCAACGCCGCUUGAGUGAAGAAGGUUUUCGGAUCGUAAAACUCUGUUGUUAGGGAAGAACAAGUGCCGUUCAAAUAGGGCGGCACCUUGACGGUACCUAACCAGAAAGCCCCGGCUAACUACGUGCCAGCAGCCGCGGUAAUACGUAGGGGGCAAGCGUUGUCCGGAAUUAUUGGGCGUAAAGCGCGCGCAGGCGGUCUUUUAAGUCUGAUGUGAAAGCCCACGGCUUAACCGUGGAGGGCCAUUGGAAACUGGAGGACUUGAGUACAGAAGAGGAGAGUGGAAUUCCACGUGUAGCGGUGAAAUGCGUAGAGAUGUGGAGGAACACCAGUGGCGAAGGCGACUCUCUGGUCUGUAACUGACGCUGAGGUGCGAAAGCGUGGGUAGCGAACAGGAUUAGAUACCCUGGUAGUCCACGCCGUAAACGAUGAGUGCUAGGUGUUAGGGGGGUUUCCGCCCCUUAGUGCUGCAGUUAACGCAUUAAGCACUCCGCCUGGGGAGUACGGCCGCAAGGCUGAAACUCAAAAGAAUUGACGGGGACCCGCACAAGCGGUGGAGCAUGUGGUUUAAUUCGAAGCAACGCGAAGAACCUUACCAGGUCUUGACAUCCUCUGACGGCCCUAGAGAUAGGGAGUUCCCUUCGGGGACAGAGUGACAGGUGGUGCAUGGUUGUCGUCAGCUCGUGUCGUGAGAUGUUGGGUUAAGUCCCGCAACGAGCGCAACCCUUGAUCUUAGUUGCCAGCAUUCAGUUGGGCACUCUAAGGUGACUGCCGGUGACAAACCGGAGGAAGGUGGGGAUGACGUCAAAUCAUCAUGCCCCUUAUGACCUGGGCUACACACGUGCUACAAUGGAUGGAACAAAGGGCAGCGAAGCCGUGAGGCCAAGCAAAUCCCACAAAACCAUUCUCAGUUCGGAUUGCAGGCUGCAACUCGCCUGCAUGAAGCCGGAAUCGCUAGUAAUCGCGGAUCAGCAUGCCGCGGUGAAUACGUUCCCGGGUCUUGUACACACCGCCCGUCACACCACGAGAGUUGGUAACACCCGAAGUCGG